CCUGGCGGCGAUAGCGCGGUGGUCCCACCUGACCCCAUGCCGAACUCAGAAGUGAAACGCCGUAGCGCCGAUGGUAGUGUGGGG
rnacentral:rRNA from 6 species